rnacentral:rRNA from 1 species
GGAAUCUUCCACAAUGGACGAAAGUCUGAUGGAGCAACGCCGCGUGAGUGAUGAAGGUUUUCGGAUCGUAAAACUCUGUUGUAAGGGAAGAACAAGUACGAGAGGGAAUGCUCGUACCUUGACGGUACCUUGCGAGAAAGCCACGGCUAACUACGUGCCAGCAGCCGCGGUAAUACGUAGGUGGCAAGCGUUGUCCGGAAUUAUUGGGCGUAAAGCGCGCGCAGGCGGCCUUUUAAGUCUGAUGUGAAAGCCCCCGGCUCAACCGGGGAGGGUCAUUGGAAACUGGAAGGCUUGAGUACAGAAGAGAAGAGUGGAAUUCCAUGUGUAGCGGUGAAAUGCGUAGAGAUGUGGAGGAACACCAGUGGCGAAGGCGACUCUUUGGUCUGUAACUGACGCUGAGGCGCGAAAGCGUGGGGAGCAAACAGGAUUAGAUACCCCAG